AUUGAACGCUCGCGGGAUGCUUUACACAUGCAAGUCGAACGGCAGCGCGGACUUCGGUCUGGCGGCGAGUGGCGAACGGGUGGGUAAUGUAUCGGAACGUGCCCAGUAGCGGGGGAUAACUACGCGAAAGCGUAGCUAAUACCGCAUACGCCCUACGGGGGAAAGCCGGGGAUCGUAAGACCUUGCACUAUUGGAGCGGCCGGUACCGGAUUAGCUAGUUGGUGAGGUAACGGCUCACCAAGGCGACGAUCCGUAGCUGGUUUGAGAGGACGACCAGCCACACUGGGACUGAGACACGGCCCAGACUCCUACGGGAGGCAGCAGUGGGGAAUGUUGGACAAUGGGGGCAACCCUGAUCCAGCCAUGCCGCGUGUGUGAUGAAGGCCUUCGGGUUGUAAAGCACUUUUGGCAGGAAAGAAACGUCGCGGGCGAAUACCCCGUGGAACUGACGGUACCUGCAGAAUAAGCACCGGCUAACUACGUG
rnacentral:rRNA from 1 species